UACGGAGGGUGCAAGCGUUAAUCGGAAUUACUGGGCGUAAAGCGCACGCAGGUGGCUGAGUCAGUCGGUUGUGAAAGCCCUGGGCUUAACCUGGGAAUUGCAGUCGAUACUACUUAGCUAGAGUAUGGGAGAGGGCAGUGGAAUUCCCGGUGUAGCGGUGAAAUGCGUAGAUAUCGGAAGGAACAUCAGUGGCGAAAGCGACUUCCUGGACCAAUACUGACGCUCAUGUGCGAAAGCGUGGGGAGCAAACAGG
rnacentral:rRNA from 1 species